CAGUCGCCGCGGUAAUACGAGGGGGGCAAGCGUUGUUCGGAUUUAUUGGGCGUAAAGGGUGCGUAGGCGGUUUGAUAAGUCAUCUGUGAAAUCGAUGGGCUCAACCCAUCGUCUGCAGGCGAAACUGUCGGGCUUGAGUAUUGGAGAGGUGAGUGGAAUUUCCGGUGUAGCGGUGAAAUGCGUAGAUAUCGGAAGGAACACCUGUGGCGAAAGCGGCUCACUGGACAAUAACUGACGCUGAUGCACGAAAGCUAGGGGAGCAAACAGGAUUAGAUACCCCCGUAGUCCCUGUCUCUUAUAC
rnacentral:rRNA from 1 species